UGGCGGACGGGUGAGUAACGCGUGGGUAACCUGCCUCAUACAGGGGGAUAACAGUUAGAAAUGACUGCUAACACCGCAUAAGACCACGGUACCGCAUGGUACAGUGGUAAAAACUCCGGUGGUAUGAGAUGGACCCGCGUCUGAUUAGGUAGUUGGUGGGGUAACGGCCUACCAAGCCGACGAUCAGUAGCCGACCUGAGAGGGUGACCGGCCACAUUGGGACUGAGACACGGCCCAG
rnacentral:rRNA from 1 species